rnacentral:rRNA from 1 species
GACGAACGCUGGCGGCGUGCUUAACACAUGCAAGUCGAACGGAAAGGCCCCUUCGGGGGUACUCGAGUGGCGAACAGGUGAGUAACACGUGAGUAACCUGCCCUUGACUUCGGGAUAACUUCAGGAAACUGGGGCUAAUACCGGAUAGGAAUCCUUGCUGCAUGGUGGGGGUUGGAAAGCUUCGGCGGUUUUGGAUGGACUCGCGGCUUAUCAGCUUGUUGGUGGGGUAGUGGCUUACCAAGGCUUUGACGGGUAGCCGGCCUGAGAGGGCGACCGGCCACAUUGAGACUGAGAUACGGACCAGACUCCGACGGGAGGCAGCAGUGGGGAAUAUUGCACAAUGGGCGGAGGCCUGAUGCAGCAACGCCGCGUGCGGGAUGACGGUGUUCGGGUUGUAAACCGCUUUCAGCAGGGGCGAAGCUUGUGGUGACGGUACCUGCAGAAGAAGCACCGGCUAACUACGUG